CCUGAAUGUGAGUGACUCAGAGUUGUGUGUCAUGGCCCAUACUAUAAAGGAGAACCCUUUCACUAGUCCAAAUGUUAGUAGAGUGAUAACACAAGACUGUACACUGUUUACUACUUGUGUUUUUGGGAUUACCAUGAAAUUGUCACCUGACUCCACCUUUCCCCUCAUCGUCUUGAUGACUUGCGUUGAGCUCAUCACCUUGAUCACAGCACGUCCCACUAAUAUACCACAAGGAAAAAAAGGUCUGCAGAUGCUGUAUCAAGACAUGCGUACGCUGCUGAAAUUAGUAUCUCAAGAAAGGCAUGGGAAUGAGAUGAAAGACUUUGAACAAUCACUCACAUCCCUGCCCUCGCUGAACUACAAAACAGAAGACCUGAAAUCACUCGAGGUGAGCAGUACAUUAGGACAGCUGUACUCUGGCCUUAAAUCCUUCAAGUUCCAUCUUGACUGGAUCCAGCAAAAACAAGAAGAAAUGGGGAGUGAUUUUGUUAAGCCAAAGAAACUUGCUCAUCGCCUCCAAGUCAUCAGCCACAUGGUACUCAUACAGAUUGGGACGACACCAUCUGAACUGGUCUACCCUUCCCUUUCGCCUUUGAACACAGCUUGGAACUUGUACCAGGCCAAUGUGGAGAUCCUCGACAAACUGUAUUACUUUUGCAACUGGUACAUUAGAGCACUGGGAGUCCUGAAACACAGUCAACAGUGAUCAACAACAUCAUACUACACCAGUAGCCCUCAGUUUAUCUCCAUGAUGCCUGACUUGCCUUAAUGUUUGACAGGAUGGAAUGAAUGUUCCAGCCUUUGUAAGUCAUUCUCCAUUUUGACAGUGUUCUCCAGUUAAUAUUUCCUAUGUAUGUUGUUGUUGUUUUUAUUUUAUUAAUAAUUUAUGUAUUUAAUAUUUAUUGAACAGUUCUUUGUUUACAAUGAAGGAUUUUUAUACAUAGAGUGAAUGAGAAAAAUAGCACUUUAUGAAAAUAUUAAGUGUGCCAUUUCAAUAAUGGAAUUUGUAUGCAAAAAUCAGCUGCAGGCAGUUGCUAAUAAUGACCAUUAGGUGUCGCUUAGAAACCUUUUACUGGGGUUAUUAAUGUGCUAUAUACUGUAUAAUUAAAUGCAGUUUAGGACGGGCACUCUUUAAUUUAUUUAUCUAUUUUUUUUUUUUUUUAAGUUAGUAAUUUCACCAGUAUGUCCUGAAUCAACAGUCUUGUUGAACAACAUAACCAUCUUCCAUUCAAAUUUUAAGGUUAAGGUUAGACUUUAGAUACACUUGCCACUUAAACAGCAUGGAAGUUAAAGCAACUGUAUUAAUGCAGGUUUUUUUUUUACCUUGAAAUAUCAGUUUCAGAAUAAUUCUGACAGUACACUUACACCACAAACCUCUGUUCUGCAUGUAUGUAACGGUGAGUGGGUACGAAAUACCAGAGAUUGUUUUAAUAUUGGAAGAUGUGAGGGUCUGUAGUACUUACCAUUUGAAAAAGCAUAACAGCUCACGUGAGGCACCUCAGCCAGUCAUACAAUGGCCUCUGGUCUCCUUCACUAUAUACAGCCAAUGCAGCAGCAUUAGCAUUAGCCGUUGUGCUUUUUUGGCUAAAGGUUGCAGACUUGCCUUCCAGUAGCUCCAUCAUUCCAGUGAAUGAUGUGGAUCCACGUCCUAUUUGGCAAAAUUACAAUAAAUGGAAGAUAAAUUUGGGCA
ensembl:lncRNA